ACUGACCCAGGACAACGAGCCAGAGUAUGAGCCAGACGGACUCCCAGAGGUGGUCAGAAAAGGCUUUGCUGAUAUUCCUACUGGGAAAACCAACCCCUGUGUUUUGCGCAGAACAGCGCUAAACCUAAAGACCAGUGCCCGUCUUGCUGCUCAAAGCCAAAAUUUGUCACCAUAUGGCCAACGUUUACAAAAAGGCAGGUCAGCUAAUUUUGCCAAGAUCUCUAAACCGACAGCUGGUGGCAGCAAAUCACCAAAGGUAGAUGAUACUCAACAGUGCCAAGCAGAAACAGCUAUUGAACCCAUGGAAUCUAGUUCAAGAUCUCCUCUUUUCAUAAAUAAUCAACUCACAAAAGCUGUUGCUGAGAACUCUGUGUGUGUUGAGAUUCUCCCCAAAGGCAGAUGUUCCUUGAGCACACAAACUACCUGGUCAAAAUGAACAAGACAAACCCACCUUUGGACUUGUGUGGAGAAAGCGCUACCUCAGUGACAGUUCCAAGGAGGACCCUUUGACUCAACCGUUGAUGGAGACGUUGGAAUCCGACCCCAAAACCCUUGUUAGGCACCCCGAUGAGUGUGACGGCCUCUCAUUGUUCACCUCCUUAGAGGUGGAAAGCGAUCAUGGCGUACCAAGAGUGGAUUUCUUCAAUAUGAUAUAUUAUUUGCUUCCUUAUCACACACCAGAUCAUUGGGUUCUUGCGACAGCAUUGAUGCAAACAAAAGAAUUAUUAACAAUUGACCCCUUGUGUGAUGAGAUGAGAUAUGAAAGAACAUGUCUAAGGAAUUGGAGUUUCAGAUACUUCAUCAAACGAUUAACGAGCAACUCCCCAUCUGAUUGGAAGAAUAAAAUUCUUCAGCAUAAUAAACAAAAAGUGAUGGCCACAACUGCGGACCACUUAUCUUAAAGUUUGCAGAAACGUAUUUGCGGCAGAAAGACAGCCUCUUGUGAUGUUUCUACUGAAUUGAUAAUGCUGAGUUUAGAAGACAAGUAGCAAUUGUUCUAGUGAAAGAGUCAGAAAGCGUGGAGGACUACUGCAUAUACUGCAACCUUGUCAGUUGUGAAAAGGAAAGUGAGGAUUGCACGAUGGUCCAGUGUGAUUCUUGCAAGAGGUGGGUACAUAUGCCCUGCAUUCCAGAAGGAACAAAUCAUGAAAUCCUCACUGAUGAGGAAGAAGAAUACGAGUGCAAAAAAGUGCAUAGUUCAGUUCUUUAUCAGAAAAAUGACAUUAUCUGUAAAUAGUUGUUGUUAAAAAUGGCUUUGAACAAAAAGCUAACCUUUUAUUUAUAUACCGGAUUACAAUAAAGUUUUUAAAAUUGGAAAAACA